UUAACUCAAAUUUGUAUGUAGUUUGAAAGUUUGCCUACGUUUACCGCUAGGGGCGUUGUUUCAACUUCACACAAAUUUCGUUA
rnacentral:pre_miRNA from 1 species